rnacentral:tRNA from 1 species
GCACCGGUGGUUGAGUGGUAGAAUUCUCGCCUGCCACGCGGGAGGCCCGGGUUCGAGUCCCGGCCGAUGCA